CAUGUAGGCUGCUUGUUAAGUCUGAUGUGAAAGCCCCGGGCUCAACCCGGGAAGUGCAUUGGAUACUGGCAAGCUUGAGUAUGGGAGAGGAAAGUGGAAUUCCGAGUGUAGGGGUGAAAUCCGUGGAUAUUCGGAGGAACACCAGUGGCGAAGGCGGCUUUCUGGACCAAUACUGACGCUGAUAUGCGAAAGCGUGGGGAGCAAACA
rnacentral:rRNA from 1 species